UCAACCAUCUCAAUCAUUUCAACGGCACUAUACUUAAGGCCUAAGGAUUUUCUGAAAUAAGCAAUUCAGUACACAAUAGGUACCUAUUGCCGUGUUUAUUAUCAAUAGACAUUAAUGUCGUGUCAGUGGCGUAUCGGGGGAGAUUAGGGAGAUACAUCUACUCAUUGGCCUUUUUUUUUUUUUUUGUAUCGAACAUUUAUACGAAACCCAUUUUCAUAUUCGAAAUUUUUUACUUUUUAGUAAAAAAAAAUCCACAAUUUAAUGUAUUGAUACUUUUAUAUAGCUAAUGUAUCAAAUAAAACUGAACGUAUACGCACAUUCUUGAUUAAAACGAAAGCUAUCAAAACCAUUUUAUUAUGAAGGAGGUUAAAUUAGUAAGUGAGCACCUAAAUAGCAACAGUAAUAAUAAUAGUAUACACUCGUAAAGUAAAUAAUUAUUCACCCUUUAAUUAUAAUUAUAUAUUUGAUUUUAACGGUAGUUAACGGACGGAUUG